GGAAGUAAAGGUGUAACAAGGUUUCCGUAGGUGAACCUGCGGAAGGAUCAUUAUUGUAUAACCGAGGUGCGAGGGCUGUCGCUGACCCGAAAGGUCGUGCACGCCCGAGUGCCCUCACACACAUCCAUCUCACCCCUAUGUGCACCACCGCGUGGGUCCCCCUUUGGCUUGUUCGGAGGGGGGCUUACGUUUUCACACAAACUUUGUAUGCAGUGUAGAAUGUAUUUUUUGUUUUUGCGAUCACGCAAUCAAUACAACUUUCAACAACGGAUCUCUUGGCUCUC
rnacentral:misc_RNA from 1 species